rnacentral:rRNA from 1 species
CCUACGGGAGGCAGCAGUGGGGGAUAUUGGACAAUGGGCGAAACUCUGAUCCAGCGACGCCGCGUGAGUGAAGAAGUAUUUCGGUAUUUAAAGCUCUAUUAGCAGGGGAGAAAAAAAUGACGGUACCUGAGUAAGAAGCCCCGGCUAACUAAAGGCCAGCAGCCGCGGGAAUCCGGAGGGGGCAAGAGUUAGCCGGAAUUACUGGGUGUAAAGGGAUCGUAGGCGGUAAUGCAGCUCUGGUGGGAAAGGAGGGGGCCCCCACCCCGGAGUGCCCUGGAAACUGGGUAACUUGAGUGCAGGAGAGGUAGGCGGAAUUCGUAGUGUAGCGGUGAAAUGCGUAGAUAUUAGGAGGAACACCAGUUGCGAAGGCGGCCUGCUGGACUGUAACUGACGUUGAGGCUCGAAAGCGUGGGGAGCAAACAGGAUUAGAUACCCGAGUAGUC